CUUGUAGGUAAAUGGCAUCUCCUAGCCAAGAUGAUAGCUUUGAUUCUAAUGAACCUAAAUGGAAGAAAGGUGUAGUUAUUAUGAAGAAAAUCAUUCGAGCUAGAAGUGAAGGAAAAAAAUAGAUGUUUCAUGGAAUGCAAAGGGUCAACCAAUUGAACCUGGUGGAACAAUAUUCAUUAGUUAUCUCGGGUCCAUUGUCCGAUCUAACAUUCCUAUAACAUGUGAUAAUUGGAAAGUUUCGACUCUAAGUGCCUAUAAGAACAUGGUUUGGAAGGAUAUACAAUUAACUUUUAAUGUUGAUGUAUCACACAAGAAACAUGUACUAAAGGUGGCAGGUAAAUUGCUUAGGAAUUUUAGAACUUACUUGGCUAAUUGUUAUCUAAAGGAUUAGAAUGGAAAUUAUUUAGAUAGUCCACCUAUUCAACCUCCUGAGCAGUAUGCAUCCAUGAUCACUGAGGAUGUUUGGAGAAAAUUUGUUGCAAAACGUAUGGAUGAAUCUUUUCAGGAAAUAAGCAAAAAAAACAAGGAGAGGGCAUCACACUCUAAUAAGUACCCUUAUAGGGCCUCACGUAAGGGGUAUGCACGCCUCGAGCAAGAAAUGAUAAAGAAAUCAGGAUCAAAUGUUACAAGUGUUCCCCGUCAAGAAUUGUGGAAGAAUGCUCGUGUGAACAAAGCUGGAGAAAUUGAAAAUGAAAAUGUUCAACAAGUAUGGGAU